rnacentral:rRNA from 1 species
CAGGCUUAACACAUGCAAGUCGAGGGGCAGCAUGGUCUUAGCUUGCUAAGGCCGAUGGCGACCGGCGCACGGGUGAGUAACACGUAUCCAACCUGCCGUCUACUCUUGGACAGCCUUCUGAAAGGAAGAUUAAUACAAGAUGGCAUCAUGAGUCCACAUGUUCACAUGAUUAAAGGUAUUCCGGUAGACGAUGGGGAUGCGUUCCAUUAGAUAGUAGGCGGGGUAACGGCCCACCUAGUCUUCGAUGGAUAGGGGUUCUGAGAGGAAGGUCCCCCACAUUGGAACUGAGACACGGUCCAAACUCCUACGGGAGGCAGCAGUGAGGAAUAUUGGUCAAUGGGCGAGAGCCUGAACCAGCCAAGUAGCGUGAAGGAUGACUGCCCUAUGGGUUGUAAACUUCUUUUAUAAAGGAAUAAAGUCGGGUAUGCAUACCCGUUUGCAUGUACUUUAUGAAUAAGGAUCGGCUAACUCCGUGCCAGCAGCCGCGGUAAUACGGAGGAUCCGAGCGUUAUCCGGAUUUAUUGGGUUUAAAGGGAGCGUAGAUGGAUGUUUAAGUCAGUUGUGAAAGUUUGCGGCUCAACCGUAAAAUUGCAGUUGAUACUGGAUAUCUUGAGUGCAGUUGAGGCAGGCGGAAUUCGUGGUGUAGCGGUGAAAUGCUUAGAUAUCACGAAGAACUCCGAUUGCGAAGGCAGCCUGCUAAGCUGCAACUGACAUUGAGGCUCGAAAGUGUGGGUAUCAAACAGGAUUAGAUACCCUGGUAGUCCACACGGUAAACGAUGAAUACUCGCUGUUUGCGAUAUACUGCAAGCGGCCAAGCGAAAGCGUUAAGUAUUCCACCUGGGGAGUACGCCGGCAACGGUGAAACUCAAAGGAAUUGACGGGGGCCCGCACAAGCGGAGGAACAUGUGGUUUAAUUCGAUGAUACGCGAGGAACCUUACCCGGGCUUAAAUUGCAGAUGAAUUACGGUGAAAGCCGUAAGCCGCAAGGCAUCUGUGAAGGUGCUGCAUGGUUGUCGUCAGCUCGUGCCGUGAGGUGUCGGCUUAAGUGCCAUAACGAGCGCAACCCUUGUUGUCAGCUACUAACAGGUUCUGCUGAGGACUCUGACAAGACUGCCAUCGUAAGAUGUGAGGAAGGUGGGGAUGACGUCAAAUCAGCACGGCCCUUACGUCCGGGGCUACACACGUGUUACAAUGGGGGGUACAGAGGGCCGCUACCACGCGAGUGGAUGCCAAUCCCAAAAACCUCUCUCAGUUCGGACUGGAGUCUGCAACCCGACUCCACGAAGCUGGAUUCGCUAGUAAUCGCGCAUCAGCCACGGCGCGGUGAAUACGUUCCCGGGCCUUGUACACACCGCCCGUCAAGCCAUGGGAGCCGGGGGUACCUGAAGUGCGUAACCGCGAGGAGCGCCCUAGGGUAAAACUGGUGACUGGGGC